rnacentral:rRNA from 1 species
GUGGAUUAGAUACCCUGGUAGUCCACGCCGUAAACGUUGGGCGCUAGGUGUGGGGGACUUUCCACGUCCUCUGUGCCGCAGCUAACGCAUUAAGCGCCCCGCCUGGGGAGUACGGCCGCAAGGCUAAAACUCAAAGGAAUUGACGGGGGCCCGCACAAGCGGCGGAGCAUGCGGUUUAAUUCGAUGCAACGCGAAGAACCUUACCAAGGCUUGACAUACAGGGAAAUCUGGCAGAGAUGUCAGGUCCGCAAGGGUCCUGUACAGGUGGUGCACGGUUGUCGUCAGCU